rnacentral:rRNA from 1 species
AGAGUUUGAUCAUGGCUCAGAAUCAACGCUGGCGGCGUGCCUAACACAUGCAAGUCGAACGCGAGGACCUCGCAAGAGGUUAGUAGAGUGGCAAACGGGUGAGUAACACGUGGGUGACCUGCCUUAGAGUGGGGGAUAACGUCCCGAAAGGGACGCUAAUACCGCAUAACAUCCUGCCUUUGAAGAGGUGGAGAUCAAAGCUGGGGACCGCAAGGCCUAGCGCUUAAAGAGGGGCCCGCGUCUGAUUAGCUAGUUGGUGGGGUAAUGGCUCACCAAGGCAACGAUCAGUAUCCGGCCUGAGAGGGCGGACGGACACACUGGGACUGAGGCACGGCCCAGACUCCUACGGGAGGCAGCAGUGGGGAAUUGUUCGCAAUGGGCGCAAGCCUGACGACGCAACGCCGCGUGGAGGAUGAAGACCUUCGGGUCGUAAACUCCUUUCGAUCGAGACGAAUGGACCUUGGGUUAACAGCCGAAGGUAAUGACGGUACCGAGAGAAGAAGCCCCGGCUAACUCCGUGCCAGCAGCCGCGGUAAUACGGGGGGGGCAAGCGUUGUUCGGAAUUACUGGGCGUAAAGGGCUCGUAGGUGGCCAACUAAGUCAGACGUGAAAUCCCUCGGCUUAACCGGGGAACUGCGUCUGAUACUGGAUGGCUUGAGUUCGGGAGAGGGAUGCGGAAUUCCAGGUGUAGCGGUGAAAUGCGUAGAUAUCUGGAGGAACACCGGUGGCGAAGGCGGCAUCCUGGACCGACACUGACACUGAGGAGCGAAAGCCAGGGGAGCAAACGGGAUUAGAUACCCCGGUAGUCCUGGCCCUAAACGAUGAAUGCUUGGUGUGGCGGGUAUCGAUCCCUGCCGUGCCGAAGCUAACGCAUUAAGCAUUCCGCCUGGGGAGUACGGUCGCAAGGCUGAAACUUAAAGGAAUUGACGG